UACGUAGGGGGCAAGCGUUGUCCGGAAUUAUUGGGCGUAAAGAGCGUGUAGGCGGUCCGGUAAGUCGGCUGUGAAAGCCCAGGGCUCAACCCUGGGAUGCCGGUCGAUACUGCCGGACUAGAGUUCGGAAGAGGCGAGUGGAAUUCCCGGUGUAGCGGUGAAAUGCGCAGAUAUCGGGAGGAACACCUAUAGCGAAGGCAGCUCGCUGGGACGUUACUGACGCUGAGACGCGAAAGCGUGGGGAGCGAACAGG
rnacentral:rRNA from 1 species